CCUACGAGUGGCAGCAGUGGGGGAUAUUGCACAAUGGGGGGAACCCUGAUGCAGCGACGCCGCGUGGGUGAAGGAGUGCUUCGGCAUGUAAAGCCCUAUCGGCAGGGAAGAAGCAAGACGGUACCUGACUAAUAAGCUCCGGCUAACUACGUGCCAGCAGCCGCGGUAAUACGUAGGGGGCAAGCGUUAUCCGGAUUCACUGGGUGUAAAGGGUGCGUAGACGGCCAUGCAAGCCAGGUGUGAAAGCCCGGGGCUUAACCGCGGAACUGCACUUGGAACUGAUGUUCUAGAGUGCGGGAGGGGCAGGCGGAAUUCCUGGUGGAGCGGUGAAAUGCGUAGAUAGGAGGAGGAACACCAGCGGCGAAGGCGACUUGCUGGACCGCGACUGACGUUGAGGCUCGAAAGCGUGGGGAGCGAACAGGAUUAGAUACCCUGGUAGUC
rnacentral:rRNA from 1 species